ensembl:lncRNA
GCAACUGGUGCUACGAAGACUUAAAAUGUCAUUCCUAAGAAAACGGGAUUUUCUGAUUUUCUAUAUAAGAACUUCUGAUGCUGCUGCUUGAAGACACUCAAAUAAAUCACCAGCUAUCAACAGCUACCCUCAUGUAGUUCCAGCCCUGUGAAACAUAAAGGCAGAUCUUAUGCACUGGCUCCCUCAGUCAUCGUUUGUUUUCCAUUGCAUCUCUUUAACACACAACUAAAGUGCAUGAUGGGCGUUGGCAUGGGAACAUGCCCCUGGCUGCUACCUGAAUGAGGACGCAGAGCCUCUGCAAACGGCACUGUCAAAGGAAUGACCCAGCAGGCUGCACAGUUUUACCUACAGCCGUAUCCAUGACAACAAAGUCCCAUGCCCACUACAUGGCUCUACUAUUGAAUAUUUGAUUGACAGAUGUCCAAAUGUCAACCACUCCCUCUCAG